rnacentral:rRNA from 1 species
AUGGUCAUCUUCCUGAUAACACGAGAGAGAGAGAGAGAGAGAGAGAGAGAGAUGAGAGCGGGAGAGGGAAGCAGAGGAGAACGAGAAGAAGGCAGGGGAAGGAAGGGAAGGGAAAGGGGCGUCGCGGUGGUGCUUGAGCACCGGGCAAGGUCGCCGGCGUGGCGAACGACAGCGCAGGGAGACGAGGUCGAGCACUCCUGCUCGGGGCCUCGACAGCAACUUGGUGGGAUCGAGGGGAGGAGUGGAGUGCUUCGUGGAGGAGAAGGUGGAUCUAAUUGGCUUGGCACGGAAUGCAAGGAGGAGGAAGGCAUCAGGUGGCGGCGUGGAUGGACUGAUGCGACAAGCGGGCUAGAUUUUAGGGAUUAG